UGAUGUAGACCUGUAGUUUGGGGUUAGAGGUUAUUUCCUGUACAGAAGUAAGGAAGCUGACAGAAUGUGAGCACAUGUAAUCCAUUUGUUGUUAGCACUAGAGGCAAUGUCUUUUCACUCUGUCAUGUAAGAUGAUGUUGAAGCCACAGUAAACAGCAAGAAAUCGCUCA